CUUUUAGUCUAAAAAGGGGGUAAAAAAAAAGUAUAUGGUACAAUAAAAUAUCCUUUUAUACAAUAAAUACAUGCUACCUAAAGUCUAAAGAAAAAUAAUUGGGUUCUCUCAGCUUUGAAUCCCUUAUUACAAUUCCAUAUUUGCCUCAUGAUUAUUUCUCUUUCAUACUUUCAUCACCCCUGGAAUCAAUUGUGGACCUACAUGAAUGUAAGAUCUUUGGGAAAAGGAAGUCUUGGGUUUCUGUCUCUAUAUAUCUCACAAAUGCAACAUUGCACAUGUAAGCACUUCAUAAAUAUUCAUUAAAUUGAAUGAAUAAAGAUUUCCUAUAUUCACACACUUCUGAGGAUAAAUUAACUACUAAUUUUUAAACCUCUGCCCCUCAUGCUUAUUCUGGAACCCCUGUAAACUUACUGGGAAUUAUUUCUUUUUCUCAUCCCUUAGCUACUUGUUGCUGAUUUGGCUCUGACCUUGGUUCUGUUCUAGAUAACGAUUUAAAAUUUCUAGGCAUCUAACUUUAUAGGCCAUAUUCUAGUUACAAAUUCUGGUUUAAGGUACAAUACCUAUGGACCUUAAUUGUACAAGAACUUCUCAGCUAUGCUACUCUUGCUUCUAAUCUGAACUUGCCCCAUUGAACCCAUGGGGCCCUAUCCCUCCCCUCCUGGGUGGGCCUGAAAGGAUCAUUACACAAAGAGCCAAAGCAAAAAGACACUGACUUCCAUUUUUCUUUCUGGCAAAACUUCUACCAGGAGAAAUAACAGUAAUGAGCUCUAAAAUUUAAAUUUUCCCAAGUCAUAAAAACAAAAACAUUUAAAAAAAUGUAAUUCACAAAAUUUAAAGCCUUAUUUCUACAUAAAGUCUUUGAACAGUUUUUAACUUUUAAAAUUUUGAAAGCUUAAAAAUAGUCAAUCAUUUGCUUAGGAUCAUAGAUUAAAGGUAGAAAGGAUUUAGAGGCCUUGUAGGUCAGGUUUCAGGAAUAAUAAAUAAGGAAACUGAGGCACAGAAAUUACAUGAUGCUCAUGUAAUUUAUGUAGCUAAUUGUCUGCGGCAAGAGUUGAACCUAGUUCUUCUUGACACCAAGUACAGUUCCCCAUCCAUCAUUAUGCUGCCUUCUCAUAGACAGCAAGGUUUUCAAUUUUCAAGGUUCACUACUAUGCUGAUAAUUCACCCAAGUUCACAAAACUAGUUAGUAAAUCUUAAAUAAGGAUACAUUCUGUAGAGUUGGCUAAUAUACUGUGGUCUUAAACUUUAGUAGUUUAAUAAUAUAUUUGCUUUAAAUUUCAUUUCGAUUAUUUGUCAUUCGUUCAACCUAGGUUAUUAAAGAACUUCUAAAACAAAGUAUUAUUAACACCACAUGGUUUCUUUAUCAUGAGAGAGCCUAGACAAAGAAAGGGUACAAACAAACCAUCAGGAAUGAGGAAGUAAAAAAUGAAAAUCAUGGAAACUGGCAGUAGGGAAUGGGGUGUAACUUGUAAGAAGAGUCACACCCAUUUAAAGGGCACUGGAAAAAUUAAUCUGAAUUUCUGUAUCCUCAGUGGAACACAAAGAUUAAGGUUUGAGAUGUCUUGAUUCUCUAUCAAGUCAGCCUAGGACUUCUCUACAUAGUACUUCACGGAAGAAAAUAUUUUUAUUUAGGUGUGGAAUCUUCAAUUUUGGAGAAAAAAGGCAUUUUUUUAAAGGUACCAGAUUCCCAUAGAAUAGAAAAUUUCAAAAGAGAAAGAUGACCUCCAAAGUUAAACAGUGAUUCACUUUUAAGAAAAUUGUUGAAAAAACUCCAAGCCUUUUGGAUUAUCAUGUUAUAUGGGAGAGGGAGGAAGGAAAAAAGGCAUUAAUGGUAGUGAUUAUGCAAACCAUUUUAAUCAAUCAAUAAAUAGCUAUUAAGAACCCAUGUACCAAGUACAUCCAAUAUCAUAAAUAUUUCUAUUCUUCAGGGAUCUAUCACUCCAGGUAUGGCUACUCCCUCUAUAGAUGCAACCCUGAACCAUGUUUGAAAAAACAUUUAUUACUUGCCUGGGGGAAAAAAAAGACUUCAGGCAGGAAAACAAUAAGCUUUCCCCUGUACCAGACUAUUCUCUCCACACUGAACUUGCAUCCAUAGCUGCCUGGGGUAACUUCUUUACAGUGUGCUCUUAGAUUUGACAUUGUACUAGCAAUGCAGAAGGAAGAAAAACAGGAUCUAAAGAGUGAAAGGUCUUGGCUGGAUAACCCAUAACAAAUAAAAGUGAGGUACUUUUGUCCUGUGGGAGCAAAACAAGCUCUGGCUACUUCUCAAUCACAAUCUUAGAAUCACAGACAGGCAGACUGCUACACCUUCAAGUCAGAAAAACAUAGCUUAGAACUAAAUCAAACAGAACUCAGUUUGACUUCAGUACUCUGGUUCCAAUCCAAUCCCCCUGCUAUUUGCAUGCCACCAUAGAUGCACUUAUGCAAAGAGAAGAAAUCUGAUCAAUUAAGCCAAAUUAAUAUUUCAUCAAUUUAUAGUAAUUUGGAGCUGGAAGGGCAUCAGAGAUUACAAUCUCCUGGGUAUGGUACUCUGCAAAGGAGAAUUUCAAAAGAAAACAAGGGCAAUGAGUAACAUAAAAGAAUGAGUUACUAGAUUUAAGACAUCAGUACUUUAAUGCUUGGGUGGAUCUGUGAUCUCAUCAAUCUGGGCCCUCUGAUUAAUCCAUCUGACAAUUUGGGCACUGUGAUUAGCCCAUCUGAUGUAAUCCUGCCAUUUCUUCCUACAAAAAAAAUCUACUGCAGAAGGUUUAUCUAAUGAGGGUGGAGGGUCUUCCUCUAAAUCUCUUGAUAAUUUAUUGUUGUUGUUCAGUCAUUUCAGUCAUGUCCAAAGCUCUGUGAUCCCUUUUUGGCAAAGAUACUAGAGUGGUUUGCCAUUUCCUUGUUUAGCUCAUUUUACAAACGAGGCAACUAAGGCAAACAGGGUUAAAAGACUUGCCCAGGGUCACAGAGCUAGUAACUAUCUGAAGCUGGAUUUGAACUCAGGCUUUCCUGAAUCCAAGCCCUGGUGCUCUUUCCAUUGUGCCACCUUUGGCUGUCUGUUGUUAUAUUUCACUCUCCGUAUUUUAAUCUACAUAUUUUUUAAGGCAUGGAAGUUUCACUCAUUUCUAAUCACUCUUAACGUCACUUCUUCUACAUAAAUUCUUAUUUUCUAGAUAUCUUGCUCAUGCCCACCACACAUCUCUCCACUGGUCUUGGGUGGUCUGCAACAUCUGAUUUCUUGAAGUUUGUAGCAUUCUGUGGCUGAAAGCCAUAUAAUAUAAUCACCAGAACAAUGGUGUUAGAAUUUAGUUUUAGGGUAAAGCACUGGGUCAUAUAGUUUCCCAAAGGCAAGCAGUUCUUCUUCCAGUUCUGAGUCCAAUUCAUUUUUUCAUUUGUCAGGUUCUGCCAAGAUAUAUUUCCUGAUGGACAAGUGCUAUGAGUCAUUCAUUCAAAUGCCAAUCAUAUUCUCUGUGAAAAGCAUUCUUCAUAUAUUUGAUAAACCAAAUGGAUAGUUAAGCUAUUGCAGAGUUUACUUAGGAAGUUCUGCAAUGAUCCUGGGUUCAAUGCAGUCAGCACAAUUAUCCCCAAACAGGACAUCUAGAGGAUCUCUCACCAACACUAAGGACUCCUGAUUCUCAUUUGCGCUCUGCAUUAGACACAUUCCAUGCUGAUGACACACACAUUUGAACAUGGAUAUUUUGAGAGCAAGGACUAUUUGAUUUUUUAAUUGCAAUCUUAGCACCUAUCACAGUGCCUAUCAGAAAUGUUUGCUGAUUGAUCUUUCAAGAAAUCCUCUGUGACUCCGACUCUCACGCUUGCUAUUUGUGACACCUUUAGAUCAGGUACAGUCUUCCUGGGCCACCAUAUUUCCCCAUCCAUAAAAUCAGGAGUUAGAACUAGUUGAUCCCUGAGGUCUCUGCCAGCUUUAAUUCUAUGAUUCUAUAAACUCCUCUCCCCCACCCAAAAACAUUUCCCAGAAAACACCUAAGAUAAAAUGCCUAACAGUUGAUUAAGACUGAUUAUACAUGUCACAUUCUAUGACUGUAUUACUAGGAGUCCAUUACAUUGCAUCUGUUUUCAUUAGCUGCCAAAAGAAAAGAGGCCUCCCUGUAAAUUCUGUGGAAUCUUCAUCUGAAGGAGUAGAAAGUUAAAUCCCAUUUCCAGACUUUUCAAGUCAAUGGACCAUGAAAUCUGGAAUUCAAUGGAUUGCAAAAUGUUUGGCAAAAGAAGAAAACUAUUCACCAUGAAAAUAGCUAGCACAAUCCCAAUUCCAAUCGAAAAACAGUUUAUGGAGAGCUAAAAUCAUAUCCAACCACCACCAUUACUACACUAUGUGCUUUUUAUACAAAGUGAAGAGAAUGAGGUCAAAUGUUACGAUUUGUAGCCAAGUCUCUGGUGUGAUCCCACAAACAUCUACGUUUUUCUUCAGAAAGUAGAACUAUUUAUUAAUGGUUCAUUUACUACAAUAAUAUAUAAAAGCAAGUAUAUUAUUCCUAUGGUUAAAAUUGUUAUUAAUGGGUAUUUCGCAAAGCAGAAUAAUGGAAAGGGGAAGAAUAAUAAAAGAGAAGUUAAAAUCAAGAGGAGGAUAUUUCAAGAAAUAGCUCAAACAAAAAAUAAAAACAAAAGGUAAAAGGAAUCUUUUAAAUUAAGUUAUACUUAAUAUUAAAUCAUUCAUUUAAAAAGUUAACCAUGAUGCUAAAUUCUAUCAGCUGUUGAUAUCCAAAAUGAAGACAUCUAAUUUAUAUAUUAAUUUGAUUGUUUUAUAAUUUGGCAUAAGAAGUAUAAUAUAGUAGUUAGAGAAUGGGCCCAGGAAGGAAAGAAUGAGGAAUGAAAGAAGGAGAUAGGAAGAGAGAAGGAGGAAGGGAAGAAGGAAGGAAACAAAGAAAGAAGGGAAGGAAGAGAGGGAAAGAAGGGAAGGCAAAGUAGUCAACAAAUAGCAGUACAAUUGUAGAUUAAGGUAUAUAACUAGCAAACUAGACUCCCAUACCAAAUUCUGUGGCAACUCAUGACAGAUAUUGCUCCUUGGUAAAAGAUUUAUGUUUCUACACAGAAAAGUUUAAAAUAUAUCUUGUUGCCACUGAAAGAAGUUGAGAGAAGGCAGAAUAGAAAGAGAAGGCAGAAAGCAAAGUUUGGCAAAGCUAACGUAUGGAGAAAAACAUGAGGAUCAACUAGAAAUCUCACAAAUAUAAAAGUCAAGAGGAAGAUAAACUUGAGGAAAACAGGUGUAUGAAACCUAGAAAGGGUCAUUUCUCCUAACCAACAGAAGGAUUUCCUACAACCAGGAUUUCUGCUACAGUAAGAAAACAGUCCUUUCUGGCUCUUCACCAAAGAAAAUUGGUAAAAUCUCCAUUUACUUAGAACAUUUAAUAUAAACCACAGCCCCCCAAAAAGUAAAGUGAUAGGGAACCUAUUUAAGCAAAAAGAAGGGCUUCUUGCUAUAUCUUUCAUAUGCUCUGAGUCCCAUGUUAAUAAAUAAGAUGACUUUCUGAGACUUGCUUGAUUUUUUUUUCACCACUCCCUCUUUAAAAAAAAGGUUGUAGCAGAUUGUGUGAAGAAAGUCAAGGAAGAAAGACCUCUUUUCCCAAAGAUAUUGUCUUCCAUCAAGUUACUAUAACAUUCUUUAUUGAAAAUCAACCACAGUAUUUCUGAACUGUCUAUAACUUCAUGCACAAUGGCAUCCACCAGACUCCCUGGUUUUCUAGGCACAUCUUGCACCAUUGUCCCCCACAGGGAAGUCCCCAAAAUUCUGCUUUUCUUACCUUCAUGAAAGAGAUGAAUUUUUUUUUCUUCAGAAGAAGUUGGUACAGAUUUCUUCAGGUCAAGUGCUACAGAGACAUCACUCCAUGUUGCCUUUUGCUUCUGCUUGUUUUCCCAAUGAGAUGUUUUCCACUAGUGUCAUUUUACGUGUCAUAAUGGUGUCAUUUUACCAAUAACUAACAAAUGAAAUGCAAUACAAUCAAGAUUUUUUAAAAAAUAGAUGCCUAUGAGUCUUAUUUUCCUUUACAGAGAGAUGGCCAUGUUUAUUUGGAAAUCUUUUCUCUUGAUAAUUUUUGUGGAUGAAUUAGUAUUUUUAUGGUAAGAAUGGCUAAAAUUCUUUGAGGGGAGGAUCCUGAACUGUUCUAGUCCUAGAAGAUGUUUCUGGACAAAGAAGGCAGCCCAACCCCAGAGAGGGGAGGAUAAUGAAUUUUGGAAACAAGUUGCUACAAUGAGUACUGAUCAUGCCAAGAAAUUUUAAUUCUGUUUUAAAUAGAUCUUAGAGCCCUUCCAGCUCUGAUCUUAUUAUUCUAUGACUUUUCUCAGGCAAUAAAUAAUCAGGUAAGUUUUCUCAUUUUCAAAAGAAAGCAAAUCAGAUUUCAGGCAAGGUUUUAUGAUAAUUCUUUAAUCUGUGGACUAGGUGAUAGGAACAAAUACUUAACUGACUUGCAUUUCAAAUGCUUCAGGGAAGUGGGGGGAACAACUCUUUUUUUCACAUUGAGUUUUCCCAUUGUGUUCACCAAGCUGACGGUGAUAUUUUUAUGUACAGUAGCCUGACAAACAUUUAUCAAGCUUCUUAGUAAAUCUCUAUCAAGGGUGGCCCUAAGAAUGAUCAGAUUUCCCCACGUCCACAAGUCAGAUGGACUUAACUCUUAAGUUGAAAAAAUGUAGUUUACCUUAAAACAAAUAUAGAUUAUUAUUUUCCCCAAGAGAUCAUUAUGACUAUGAUCUACUUAUGGCCGGAGGAUAGAUAGCCUCUAGUGCACCAUGAGGAAAAAAGAAAGUAUUUCUUUCUUUGAAUGUUUUCAAUGGUUAUAAAAAUGUUACUGUCUUCUGGCUACUCCCUCUGCUCCCAAUAUUUAAAAUCUGGCUGGUUGUUCCUUCAUUCUAUCCCUUUCACUGGUAGCCACAGUAUUUUAACUUGCUGCAGAUUCUUUGAUGUAGCUUCUACUUUCAAGUCUUAGAAUAUCUAUUUUUAAAUCCUGAAAACUCAACAUCUACCCUUCUCUUCCUUGGCAUUCCUAGUCAACUGAAGCAUAUAUUAUAUAGAGCUCUUCCUUUAUGUCAUAGGCAGGGCAACAGAAAAAGGAAAUCAGCCUUAAAGUGGUGUUUGUCAUUCUGAAGAUAAUGAAAUUCACAUUUCAUCUAAAUAUUCUUUCAUGAUUAUUUCUUCUGGAAUAGCCAAAUAUUUCCUUAAGAAAAUCAGUUAUACUUAACAUUACUCACUUUUCCCAGUUCAAAUCAAAUCCUCAAAUCCUUCAAGUAACUCAAUUUUAAGUUCACUAGUGUGUUACUGAUGAGUGUUCACAAAAUUUCUUCUCAUAAGAUUUUGAAGGGGGUGUGUUCUGCUUUUGGUGAUAAUGUAUUAGAAAAAGGGAACUGAAAAGGAUAGAGAAAAAGAAGUAUCCACCACUUUCUUUUUAGUGAUUGCUGAUACCUAAAACAAACAAAGCCUAAUAGACAACAUGGUACAUGGGAAAGAAUGCUGCAUUUAUCUAUUCAGAGGAGCUGGGUUCAAAUCCCAUUUAUACUGUUUAGUUCCUACGUAUGUGUUCUCAUGUCUCAUUUUAGGGAACUGGACUAGAUAACCUCUAAUGUAUCUAUGUAAAUAAUAUAUUUAGAGCCAAAAGAGACAUUUCCCAGAAAAUUUGCAAGUUGCCUCCACUUUGAUCAGGGUAACUCAAGGAAGGAAAUUUAGAAUAGUAUUGGCUAGAUUGCUUUCCCUUCCAUAACUCUCUGCAGUAAAAUUACAGAUGGUUGGAUUUAUAAGCUCCUUUAGUCUAUCCAAUGCAAGAACCCUCUCUAUCAACCACAACAUCCCAAAGGGGAAUAAGAGAGAAAAGAUAUUCUUGUCUUUUUUCAGGUUCAACUGCACAUUUUCAAGAUCUCUAGAGUAAAGCAAUCUUUGGAAAUGGAGCCCAUAUUGCACUCACCAAGAACAAGGAGGCAAGAAGCAUUAGUAGGUGGAAAUCUGAAGCACUGAUAGACUCCACCUUUUCUUCCUUCCACUGGGAAAAGUUCAUGAAAAUAGCAAUAUGAUUGGGAACAGUCCAUAAAGUAGUAUAAAAGCACUAGAUGACAGAUAAUAUUUCACAGGCUCCACAAAACACACACAAUCAUAUUAAGAAACCUCACUGACCUCCUAAUUGGUUAUGUUGGCCUGAGUAUACCAGUUCUAUAACCAUCAAUCCUUAUACUCAAGGUGUGGCUGUAAGAAAAAGGUUCCCAUGUGAGAUACAAACAAAAACCAACACACAGUAAAGAUAGGAGGGAAUAUAAAUGCAAAGGGGAGACCUGGGUGGAGCCUCUAACCAGUAACAGAUUUCUUCCUUAAUUGUUGGUUGUUUGGGUUGGGCUUCAGAUCUGCUUUCUGAGUUUUUUGGGGGUGGUUCUAAUCCACAUACUAUAAAUAAUAGUAUAAUUAUUAUAUAUACUAUAAUAAUAAAAAAUAAAAAUAUAAUAAAAAAUGAAGCAAUCAACCCUCUGUUUGCAACAUGCUUCCCCCUACCCCAAUUUACCCCAGCUAGGUAACAUAAUGGCUAGAAUCCCUGUCUUAUAUUCAGGAAGCUGGUCUCAUGUGCAUUAAAAUUGAUAGUGAUAGGGGCAGCUAGGUGACUCAAUGAUUGAGAUGGGAGGUCCUGGUUUCAAAUUUGGCCCCAGACAAUUCCUAGCUAUGACUCUGGAAAAGUCACUUAACACCCCAUUGCUUAGAUUUUCUGGCUUGGACCCAAUACACAGUAUUGAUUUGAAGGCAGAUGAUAAGGAUUUAAACAAAAUUAGGAGAGAACCAGAGAAACAAAUUAAUCUUAGAGAGAAAGAGAGGGAGAUAUGGGGAUAAAGAGAAGAGAAAAAAAUAAGUGAUACAUGCCAAUACAAAGGUUAAGUCUAUAUGAUAAUAAAAUGCCCAAUUUAAUAGAAAAAUGAAUGAAGUUAUUUGGUCAUAUUUAUCAAACAACAUGAUCCCCCUUUUUAAAUUAAAUUUUUCAUUUUUUAAUUUGGUCAUGGGUCCAUUUCUCAGACCUAAGUCCUAAGCUUCCCUCAAUAGUAAUAAGCAGAGGUUGAAUGAAUUGGCUAGAAUUGUAAUUUCUGGAGAUUAUGAAGGGGGAACCCAGAGAAAUGAGAUCCAGAGGAACUCCCUCAACUUUCUAUAAAAAAAGUGAGGCAGCUCUGUGGCCAGCAAGCCAGCUCUCGCCAUGAUUCUAAUACCAACGGAAGAUGACUGAUAUCUCUUCUUUGGUCUAGCAAGUGCCAACCCAGCAAAUAUGUAGGAUUAAUGGGAGGCUAACAGAGGCCAUAUAAAACAUAAAUGUAGGAAAGGCAGGAAGGGAAGUCAACAAAGGACUAGCCUUGGGGAGAGUUAGAGACGUUUUUGGAGACUUUUGUCUUCAGCAUGACUUGGUUUUAUUCUUUUAUCCCUCCCACACACUCCUGAACCAUCUUCUAUAUAUUUGUCAACCCCCCCCUCCCCCCACCAUUCCUGCCCUGGAUAAAUACUCAGCACUUGUUCUAUGGGAAGGGAAAAUGAAAAACCAUCAUUUGCCCCCAAGAUAGUCAUGACUGAGGCUGACCUGCUAAUACUAGACUAGGAGGAAGUCAUGAACCCACACACUGGUGUGGUAAGUCUCUGCUCCAGCGUAUGUUCUCACAUCCCUAAAAUCCUUUUCACACCAGCCUGGAGCUCCACAUGAGUCACUGAUUUCAAGUAUAAAAUUCAGCACUAAACAAUAAUGUUGGGGUUAUAGAGAAAAGGAGAGGAAAGGAAUGCCUACAGCCUGCCACUCACAACACCACCUUUAGGGAAUUCUUCCUUUCCUCUUUCUUUUCCUUCCAAAGAAUACUACAUAGGCUUGAAUAGUUUUUGUCUACCAUUUGGGUAUAAAAGUGAACUGGAAUAAUAACAAAAAUAGUAUUUCAGGUUUGCAAAGCACUUUACAUAUGCUAGUUUAUUUGAUCCCCACAACAAUCCUAUGAAACAGAUAUUAUGAUUAUGCCCAUUUUAUGGAGAAGGAACUGAAAAUUUAAGUGAUUUGCCCAGUCACAGGAGUAGGGAAUGUCUGAGACAAGAUUCAAACUUGAAUCCUCUCGAGUUCAAGUCUUGUACUCAACCCCACUUGAACCACUGAGCUGCACUGAAUUAAGUGCAAGGUUCAGCAAAAUAAAGUCCUCCUGAGACACUCCCUCAUGGCACAGAGGUGAUCCUGGGUUUUUAGACUAUGUCAGCAAAGGAAUACAAGUUCUGGUAGUUUCUACCAAGCUGGAAAGAUUUCAAGGGCAUUUAAGUAAUGAAUUGUGUGUCUGCCAUCCAAAAAAAAAAAACCUAGCAACUUAAGUUGGAGACAUCUAGCACCAGAAAAUUGGCCACCAGGUAAUAAAUUUGCUUGGUCAAAGUAAUUCAUAAAGACUACUGAGGUGUGGGAGGAAUUAUCGAUCAAUGAAUCAAUUGGGAAUCAAAAAAUUCAGGCACAGUACUAAGUGCUAGGGUUACAAAAGAGGCAAAAGAUAGCUCCUGCCUUCAAGGGGCUUAUAAUUUAAUGAGACAACAUGCAAACAACUAUAUAUGUGUGUAUGUGUGUGUACAUAAAUAUCGAUAUGGCAAGCUUUUUACAAGAUAAAUAGGAAGUAACUGAUAAAGGGAAGGCACUAGAAUUAAGAAAAGUUGGGAAAGGCUUCUGGUAAAAGAUGGGAUUUUAGCUGGGACUUAAAGGAAGCCAGGGAAGUCAGCAGGCAGAGUUGAGGGGAUAGCCUGAGAAAAUGCAUGAUUAAAUCAAUAGAGUAUCAUUUUUAUGAAACAGUCAGGAAGCUAGGGUCUCUGGAUCAGAGAGUAUGUGCUAGAAAGUAAGGUAUUAAAAAAAAAAGCAUGGAAGGUAGGAGGGGGCUAGGUUAUAAAGGGUUUUAAGUGCCAAAUGGAGCAUUUAUAUUAGAUCCUGGAGGCAAUUGUGGAUUUAAAAAAAAUUAUACCCUGGGGACUUCAUUUUCCAGCAUUCUUUACUCUUCCCUGGGUCCCCUGGUCUUGCAUCCCAGUGUUGUGCCCUGGGGGGUGGGGGAGUUGUUUAUAAAUUUUGCUAAAACCCACACUGUGGGCUUUUUGGACUUUUGCUUUGGCUCCAGUGAGGCAGGUGUGGGUUCUUUGCUCUGCUCACUCAGCUGAAGGAACCCCUUUCUCUCUCACUUUGUUGUUAUUAAAUCCUAUAAAAUUUAAAUAUUUGGAGUAUUCACUCAAUUUUAGUCUUAAACAAUAAAGAACCAGUGGAGUUUAUAGAGUAUGGGAGUGACCAUGGUACCUUGAAUGAGCAAAGGGAGGUAUCUAUAUGAUUUCAUCCUUUGAAAUAUUUAAAUAUUGUUAAUUUAUUCAUCCAAAAAGAACUUAUUUAGUUCAAGGCACUAUUCUAACCUUGAAAUAAAUACAAAUAAAAGUAAAAAACAAAAAAGUACCUAUUCCUAAGGGACUUACAUUCUAAUAUCACAUAAAGGGAGAUAUCAUAAAAUAUCAAUUAAAAGGGAGAUGGGGAAGCAAAAUAUGGGGGGGAAAUGAAGAGUUAAGAGCAGAGUAGGGAGACAAAGAACUCACUUUUCAGAGGAGGGAGCCAGAGAGGUAAAAUAAUAAGGCUACUAAGGAUGGUUGGCAGAAAAGUCAGAAGGGAGCAGUAAGAGACGUGGACAUCCCAAAGAACAUAAAGGCACACAAAGAAAGUUAAAUACAGUAGACAGAAUAUAAAAAGUAAUUUCUGAAAGAAGAGCCAUCACAAUUGAGGAAAGAAAUAAAAACAGGAAAGGUUUCCCACAGGAGAGACAUGAGUGGAGAUUUGAAGAAAGCUAGAGUGGUCUAGUGGAUAGAGUAUCGGGUCUGCAGUCAGGAAGACUCAUCUUCCCAAUUUCAAAUCCAGCCUCAGAUACUUCCUAGCUCUGUGCCCCGAGGCAAGUCACAACUCUUUUGGCCUCAGUUUCCUCAUCUGUAAAAUGAGCUAGAGAAGGAAAUGGUAAACUGCUCCAGUAUCUUUCCCAAAAACCCCCAACACAAAAUAGGGUCAUGACAAGUCAGACAUGACCAAAACAGCUGAACAACAACAAAGAACCUAAGAGGAAGAGAUGGGGGAGGAGUGUAUUCCAGGCAUGAAGCCCAGCCUCUAAAAGGAAGAGGGAUAGAAAAUGGAAUGUUAUGUAUAGGGAAUGAUAAAUAGGCAUUUUGGCUAGAAAAGAGAUCACAUGUUAAGGAGAGAUGUUCAAUAAGCUUGUUAAAGGCAGACUAGAACAAGAUUGAAAAAGGGACUAAAAAUCCCAGUUGGUCUUUAUUCUAGAUACAAUGAUGGGAGCUGUCAAUACCCAAAUUUAAGGGUCUUGGUGCCUUUAGCAAUAUCUUUUUACAUAAAGUUCUUAAGAACUUUAAAUUCUUACAAUUUUUCUUUCCUCCUCUUUUAUAACCAUUUGGUGUCAUGGACCUCUUUGCCAUUCUGGUUAAUGAACCCCUUUUCAGAAGAAUGUUUUGAAAUUAGUGAAAUAAAACAUAUAGAACUAUAUAGGAGACUAAAUUAUAUUGAACUAAAGCUUAUCAAAAUACUGUAAAAAUGGACUAGAAUCCAGGACUUCAAUCCCCAGAAGUCCUUGCUUCACUUCCCCAAAAUGCUUUGUAAUCUCACUGAAUUCUCACCUGGGUCGAGAGCAAAAUCAUUAUUUAAAGGGUCUCCUCCCACGGCGGCCCCUCUUCUCUUCCUGUCUCUGCUGGCAAACAGACACAUCUCAUGAUGUGAGUGAAAUUUGGGUGGGCCUCAUGGCCCACCUAGCACGUGCUUCUCUUGCUUGUAUUUUCUUUAACCCUUGACCUUUAAUAAACCUCAUAAAAAUAAUAUUCCUUGCAGAGAGAAACUAAUUUCUACCUGUCUCAGUUUCCCCCAAAUUUUUAAUCUUCACAAUACUGAAAAGAAAAAUGCAAGUUCAUGAACUCCCAGUUAAGAAUCACUCUUAAGAGGACCAGAUCUGGAUAGGAUAUGAUAAACACUGUAGUAUAUAUGUAUGAAAACUAAAUAAUUUGUGGAAAAAGCCAAUGCUUUGAAUUAGACCUUGAUAUAGAAGGUCUUGGCCCCAUAUAACCUAUAACAUUAUUUCAUUAGAAAGUGAAAUAAAGUCAAAACAAGCUCAAAUAUUAAAACGAAGCCCCAUUUUUAUCUAAUAUUAAAGUGGAAAACACUUUCUAACAAACUCAUGUAAGUGAUUUGAAUGAUGUUGGUGAACCCUUUAAAAUGGAUUUGCACAUAUUCUAAUUUCUUAUUAUAGAAAUAAAGAAGUUACACUGAUAUAGUUUAAGUAUGGACUUUGAAUUUCAUCCUGAGCAACUUUAUCUUGAUGCAGAGCAACAAUUCCACAAUGUAAGCAUUUCAGAGAAUUUCUUAGGGAGGUGAAGUGACUGCUAAGGGUUACACAUGAGACUGAGCCAGACGCAACAUAUGAACUUAGCUUUUCCCAAUUUAGUUUCUAGUACUCAAUCUACUAUGUCAUUUCACCCCUCAUAAAAUGCCCUUUGCCUUUUUUUCUUCUGAUGCAUCAUCAUGAAGUUGAUCCUGGGUUCUCAGAGGCCACAAUGCUCACAGAAUGCCAACUCUAGCAGUUUCUACAAAGCUGUAAAGAUUUAGUCCAGGUUUGACAAUAAUGUUAACUAUCAUAGGUCUAUAUUGAGUCAGAUAAACAUCAUUAAAAUAUAUGUUAUCGAUUUAUGUUGAGACAUAUACAUAUAUAAUCAUCAAAAUAUUUCUUUCAACCAAAUUUUUGUGGAAAAUUGUUACAAUCCUUUCUUCUAGCAGACUUCUUACUGUUUUGUUCCCAAACUACUAGGUUGAACUAGAAUAUUACUUUAUCUUCAAUUGACUAUGUAUCAAAUAGAGUCUCCUUUUAUGAGGAGGGAACUUUUUAUGAAACACUGUUGCUUCCAUUAAAAAAAUGUUUUUCAAUGUUUCCCUGGACAAAGAAAAAUUCUACUAUAGUACUAUUUUUUAAAACUUGUGCUUGCAAUUUCAUUAGUGUAGGGAGCCCCCCGCUCCCCAGGGAAGAAAUCCUCUUCUAUCAAUGCAGAAAAACAAUUGUUCUGAAUCUUGUAGUUUUGCAUGGUUGCCUAAGGUACUUAGAAGUGUAAGUAACUUGCCUCAGAUCAUAUAGAUAUCACAGAUCUGACUUGAAGUCAGGGCUCCCUUACUCCAAAGCCAGUUUCACAAAGUAGGACAGGCUGACACUCACACAGGGCUGAGACCACAUAUUGUAAAUGAAGGCACGGUAGUUGUUUUAAAACCAAACAACAGAAGUGUGUAUAUACUACCAUAAAUUGCAAACGUUAACUUCUGAACAAAUUUAUAAAUUCCUUUAUGCCAUAUUGUAGCAAACUUAAUAAGGAAGGCAGAAAAAACCCAAACCUAGCUUCACACCCUUAGAUUCCUGAAAAGAAAAGAAAAACAAGUUCAACCUGCUUACCUGGUUCUCUAAAUUCAUUAAGAAAUACAGUUUUAAAUCUGGAGAUUUAUUUGAGCAAAUUCUUUUUUUCUUAAGGAAAAACAAAGGAGCUGGUGCACCAGGCAUUCACUUAAAGGAAGCAGCUUGAAGGCAGGGAUUGUUUUUGCCUUUCUUUAUAUUCUCAGUGUUUGGUACAGUGCCAGUCACAUAGUAAAAAUGUUUAAUAAAUGCUUAACUGACUAGAUAUGUCAGAUGAGGGAAAGGGAGGAGUCAAUGAUGAUACCAAAUCAUUAAGAUGAGGGACCAUAUGAAUGGUGGUGCCACAGAGAGAAAGCACCAAGUCAGAGAGUAGAGCUGAUUUAGCUCUGUUUUGGACAUGUGGAAUCUGAGGUUCCAGUGAGACAUUCAGUUUGCAAAUGUCCCAAAGGCAGUUAUAAAGAUGAAUCUGGAGCUCUAUACUAUUCAGGGAUGGAGGGAUAGGCCUGGGGGUCACUCCCCAGAAAUGGAAUUUGAAACUACUAAAAGGCAGCAAUAUGGGAUAAAGGAAUUGGAUUUGGAAUCAGUGCUUGUUGUUUGGUCAUGUCUGAUUCUUCCUGACCCUGUGAGCUAUACCAUCCAGGGAGUUUUCUUGGCAAAAAUACAGGAAAGGUUUUCCAUUUUCUUCUACAGUGGAUUGAGUAAACAGAAAUUAAGUGACUUGCCCAGGGUCACACAGCUAGUGUCUGAAGCUAUUUUUGAACUCGGGUUUUCUUGACUCCACACACCUGGGCUCAAAUCUUGGAUCAGUCAUUUAUUCCCUGUGUCAUCUCCUUAUUUGCUUCACCUGUAAAAUGAGGGAGGUAGGCUAGAUGACUUCCAAAGUCUCUUCCAACUCUAAAUUCUAUUGCUUCUCUAAUUAUGGGAGAAUUUAAAAGAGAGUAAAGAAGAUGGCCAAGGAUAAGACCCUGGGAAACCAACUCUUCUCAAACCUCCAACAUUAAUAAUGAAUGUCUUCCUCUCUUGGAUCUCACAUGGAACUCUUUUUGCUCACUUUAAUGCAUGAACAGAUAGCUCAUGAUUAAUGAGUUUAAAUAAUGCUAAAUUCAAUUUAGUGCGAUUAUAAUUACCAAGUCCCAUUUAAUGCAAAUGAAAAUUCAAUUAAUGCAAAUUAUAGGAGCUUUUCAAGGAAUUUAAUAUACUACUAUGUUGUUUGGCACUCACCAACCAGUGUGAAUGUGUGUUGCUGUAUACCACAUUGCCAACAGUUAUGUAAACUUUUUUUUAAAAUAAGACAGCACUUAACAACAUGGACAAAAGAAAGAAUGCUUCAAAUGGAAACACUGCCAGCUUUUUAAAAAAGAAGAGCCUUGCCAUUACAUCAGAAUAAAAAUUUGAUGUAGUUGAACAGCAUGACUGGGGUGUCAUAGUAACUCUAAAAUAGAAUAAAAUAAUGGAAUUCCUCAAUAUAGGAUGCAGAACAUUAUAAAAACAUAGGUAAAAUAACAUAACAAGGCAGAAUUAUAUCAGCUUUUUCUGGUUUGCAAACAACUACAAGGAAUAUUUUAUAAUGAAAGAAACAACAUAUUUUAGUUAUAGAUUGAAGACAGUAAUAAAAAUAAUUCCUCUUAACAGGAAGCAGUCAUUCAGACAAAAAGCUUUGAGUUUAUUUAAGGUAAUGGAAGACAAUGAAAAUGAAGUAUACAGUGAAAAAACUUUGACUGUAAGCAUUGGUUGUUCACUUAAAAAUUGGGUUCAAUUGCAUAACGUUAAAAUUGCUAGAGAGGCAGGCAGUGCAGAUUGCGGACAAAAAUAGCUAAAUAUCUUUAUGUCUUGAAAAACUAAUCAGAAAAGGUGGACACUAUGAUGAACAAAAUUUUAAUGUGAAUGAAACAAUAGGGAUCAAGUUCUAGAGGAGAAUGUCUUGCAGAACUUCUAUUUUUAAGAAAGAAAAAACUCAAUCUAGAUUUAAAGUAUCUAAGGAUAAUCUAACACUUUUAUUGGGAGGUAAUGAAGAAGGGAAUUUUAAAUUAAAACUAAUACUUGUUUAUUGACCUCUAAAUUCUCAUGCUCUAAGAGGGUACAACUAUUGAUCACUUUGAGGUCUUUGGUGGUCAAAUAAAAAAGCAUGGGUGAUUAAUGCUGUUUUUCAAAGACUGGUUUUCAGGUUACUUUAGCCUAGCUGUUGAAAAUAUUGCUAAGACAACAAUAUCAUGUUGAAAGCAUUACUGAUUUUAGAUAAUGCUCUGGGUCAUCCAUUUACACUGGUUCAAUGGAAGAGAAUGGAAAUGUGCAAAUUUGCUGAAAUGUGGAUAAUGCUCCCUGCACCUAUCAGUGUAUGUAUGAAGAUAUUAAAAAAGAGAAAACAGUUCAAUCUAUAUUGCUAAAGCAUUUUAAACAAUAAUACAAAUGGGUUUUUUCCAUAUCAUCAAUGAAGGCUCAUCUUUAAGUAAAAUAUUCAGCAAUUUAAAAAAAUUUUCUUUUUCUAACUACUGUUACUCUGUAAUAAAUCUGAAUCAGAAAUACAUCUUAUUAUUUGUUUUCAUGUUAAUAAACAUAAAAAGCUUAUUUUUAAAAAAUUCAUUACACAUUUCCAAUGGGCCAGAUCCAAUUACAGGAGUAUAGAUUCAUGUAAUACAACCACUUCACAGGAUUCAUUAUUCACACUAAUUGAAACCAAGCUGUAUAUUACCAUUAUUUGUCAAGUUGGUGAGCAUUUUUAAGCAUUUACUAUGUGACAAGUACUAUACUAAGUGCUAGGAAUACACAUACAAGCAAAGAAAGGCAAUCCCUACCUUCAAAGGAGUUAUAAUCUAAUGAGGGAAGACAAUACUUAAAGGAAGUUGAAAGAGGGAAUGUGGAGAGAAAAGGAACACACAUUGGGGCAUGAUUGAGAAAGAUGGAGCAGAGCCCAAAGAGGAAUGAAAGGAAUAAACAUGGUUGGAUAAGGCACUUUACAAACUUAUGUUUAUGUAUUAUCUCCUUAGCAAACUGUAAAUUCCAUGAGGUCAAAAACUGUUUAAUCUGAAUUUUCAUCUCUCCCAGAAUCAGCUAUAAAGUCCUUAACAGAUGGUGAAUGAGUUAAAAUAUCCUAUAUUUUCAACUCAUGACUUUCCAUUUCAGAAUAAGAAAAUCAAUGACAGUACAGUAGUUUAUUAUUUUCAUCUAGGAAAUCUUUUAAAAGGUUAUUUUUUAGUCAAAUGUGGGACAUAGAAACCACUAUCCUCCCAAAUAGUUUGUUUAUCAGUCAAUGACUAAAUAUUUGUUUAACAGACAAUGCAACACACUGGCUCCAUUGAUACAGUUGUAGUCAGGGUGGAAGAAUGUGGGAGGAAGCUCACUGUUUAGAAGUAUCAGGAAUAUGUUAAAAAUAUUUCCCAGCAUCUGUCAAAAAUAGAGUUUUGUUUUAUUUAUGUUUUUAAUAGUCUAAAGGAAUUUUCUUUUUUAUUUAGCACCACCAACUUUGAAUUAUAAACGCCCAUGUAUAAAAUCAAGCACUAUAGUGCAUGACCAGAAUUGACAGUGGAACCAGUCUACAAAUAACCCAUGAAAUCUCAUUGAGUGUGGUUCUCUUCAAAGUAACCACCUUGGGACAGCUCCAUGACUCAAUGAAGAGAGAGCCAGUCCUGGAGAUAAGAGGUCCUGGGUUCCAUCUGGCCUCAGACAUCUCCUAGCUGGAUGACCCUUGCUCUUCUGCCUUGGAAACAAUUCUGAGAAAGAAGCUCACCAACCACCAGCUAGAAAGAAGGAUUAACACACAAAUGGAGCCAAGUCUAGAUUGGAGAAGCAGCAUGGCAGAGUGCUGGGCCAGGAGUCAGGGAGAUGCAGGAAUUCCUACUUCUGUGACCAUGAGAAUAAUGAACUGGAGGAAUUCCAUAUGAACUGUUAAGACUUCCAGGAAUUGAUGCAGAGUGAAAAGAGCAGAACCAGGAGAACAUCGUACACAGAGAGUGGCACAGUCGAAUGUAAUGGACUUCUCUACUAGCAGCCAUGCAAUGAUCCAGGACAAUUCUGAGGGACUUAGAGAUAGAACACUAUCCACAUCCAGAGGAAGAACUGUGGGAGCAGAAACACAGAAGAACAACUGCUUGAUCACAUGGUGCUGUGGGGAUAUGAUUGGAGAUGUAGACUCUACACAAUCACCCUAGUGCAAAUUUUAAUAAUAUGGAAAUGGGUCUUGAUUAAUGACACAUGUAAAACCCAGUGGAAUUGCUCAUUGGCUAUAGGAGCAAGGUGGGAGGAGGGGAGGGAAAGAACAUGAAUCAUGCAACCAUGAAAAAUAUUCUAAAUUAAUUAAAUAAAUAAACUUAAUUUAAAAA